rnacentral:rRNA from 1 species
CCUACGGGAGGCAGCAGUCGAGAAUCAUUCACAAUGGGGGAAACCCUGAUGGUGCGACGCCGCGUGAGGGAAUGAAGGUCUUCGGAUUGUAAACCCCUGUCAUGUGGGAGCAAAUUAAAAAGAUAGUACCACAAGAGGAAGAGACGGCUAACUCUGUGCCAGCAGCCGCGGGAAUACAGAGGUCUCAAGCGUUGGUCGGAAUCACUGGGCGUAAAGCGUGCGUAGGCUGUUUCGUAAGUCGUGUGUGAAAGGCGCGGGCUCAAGCCGCGGACGGCACAUGAUACUGCGAGACUAGAGUAAUGGAGGGGGAACCGGAAUUCUCGGUGUAGCAGUGAAAUGCGUAGAUAUCGAGAGGAACACUCGUGGCGAAGGCGGGUUCCUGGACAUUAACUGACGCUGAGGCACGAAGGCCAGGGGAGCGAAAGGGAUUAGAUACCCUAGUAGUC